GGGUAACCUGCCUUAUAGUGGGGGAUAGCCUUUCGAAAGGAAGAUUAAUACCGCAUAAGAUUGUAGUAUCGCAUGAUAUAGCAAUUAAAGGAGCAAUUCGCUAUAAGAUGGACCCGCGUCGCAUUAGCUAGUUGGUGAGGUAAUGGCUCACCAAGGCGACGAUGCGUAGCCGACCUGAGAGGGUGAUCGGCCACAUUGGGACUGAGACACGGCCCAGACUCCUACGGGAGGCAGCAUG
rnacentral:rRNA from 1 species